AUUGAACGCUGGCGGCAUGCCUUACACAUGCAAGUCGAACGGCAGCACGGGGGCAACCCUGGUGGCGAGUGGCGAACGGGUGAGUAAUGCAUCGGAACGUGCCCAGUAGUGGGGGAUAACCCGGCGAAAGCCGGGCUAAUACCGCAUACGACCUAAGAGUGAAAGCGGGGGACCGUAAGGCCUCGCGCUAUUGGAGCGGCCGAUGUCUGAUUAGCUAGUUGGCGGGGUAAAAGCCCACCAAGGCGACGAUCAGUAGCUGGUCUGAGAGGACGACCAGCCACACUGGAACUGAGACACGGUCCAGACUCCUACGGGAGGCAGUAGUGGGGAAUAUUGGACAAUGGGCGCAAGCCUGAUCCAGCCAUACCGCGUGGGUGAAGAAGGCCUUCGGGUUGUAAAGCCCUUUUGUUGGGAAAGAAAUCCAGCCGGCUAAUACCUGGUUGGGAUGACGGUACCCAAAGAAUAAGCACCGGCUAACUUCGUGCCAGCCGCCGCAGUAAUAC
rnacentral:rRNA from 1 species